rnacentral:lncRNA from 1 species
UUUUUAUUAUCUUCUUCCUUUGUAUCAUCAGUGUGAAUAUCCAAAACUACGGGGUGAACUUCAGAGGCACCUAAUGUGGUAAGGACGACAUUGAUGCUUUUCAUUUGUUCAGCUGGUAGCUUCUUUUCUUCUAUGUUAACCUUUUCACUGUGUCUGUAAAUGGCGUAGAGAAGCAUCUGGAGCAUCCCCAAGAUGAAGCCAAGUACGUUAGGGAGCUGUCAAAUCAAAUCACAAAAAACAACAACAACAAAAAAGAAUCAAUCUAUUUGUGGCUUCAAGUGAAAGUGAAGGACGAAAAAGUAAAUAAAUUGUGUCCCACAAAAUUGAACUUACAGCUACACAGAGGUCCUUAAUAAAUAGUCCAUAAGCAAACCACAUUACUGCACUCAAUGUGAGGAAAAAUGAUAAGGUGAAAGGCAUGAACUCAACGCUCUUUGUUCGUAUAACUCGUGCCUGCAUGGAGAACAUAAUUAGAAAUUAAAGAAACUUAACUAGUUAAUUAAUCCGCAAUUAGAAAACGGGAUACUGACCAUAAUGUUUAAGGGUGCUGCAAAGACGGAUACAGAGAUGGCAACACAAAUCCAGCCAAGAACUUGGAUGCGAAUCGAGCUUUUCAGCAGAAAGUGUGUGAGGAUGAGAAUGAAAGAGAAGAGCCCCAGGUUCAUUGAUAUAAAAAGUUUCAUAGCCGACAUCUGCCAAUUUCAUACGUGAAUACCAUGUGAAUAAUUAUUUUUAAUAUUUAAUAUAUAGAGAGAGAGAAGUACUCACCCUGCUAUUCUUUGAAGCAUAAGCCCAGAACAUAGAUAUAUAAAUAGUCUCAACAACACAUCCAAAAGAGUUGAUGGUGAUCAGAAGGAAAGCACCCUUUUUAAUCAACGCGUAAUACAGCCAUAGCAUGCAACUGAACAAUGCAACCUGGUAUGGCAGUGACUGGAAACUCUCAGUC